rnacentral:rRNA from 1 species
CUACGGGUCGCUGCAGUGGGGAAUAUUGCACAAUGGGCGCAAGCCUGAUGCAGCCAUGCCGCGUGUAUGAAGAAGGCCUUCGGGUUGUAAAGUACUUUCAGCGGGGAGGAAGGGAGUAAAGUUAAUACCUUUGCUCAUUGACGUUACCCGCAGAAGAAGCACCGGCUAACUCUGUGCCAGCAGCCGCGGUAAUACGGAGGGUGCAAGCGUUAAUCGGAAUUACUGGGCGUAAAGCGCACGCAGGCGGUUUGUUAAGUCAGAUGUGAAAUCCCCGGGCUCAACCUGGGAACUGCAUCUGAUACUGGCAAGCUUGAGUCUCGUAGAGGGGGGUAGAAUUCCAGGUGUAGCGGUGAAAUGCGUAGAGAUCUGGAGGAAUACCGGUGGCGAAGGCGGCCCCCUGGACGAAGACUGACGCUCAGGUGCGAAGGCGUGGGGAGCAAACAGGAUUAGAUACCCCGGUAGUC